GCUCGAGCAGGAUAGGCUAUAUGAUUUAGGUAUGGUGCGACUACCUGCUACGCCUCACCUAUCCAGAACUGGUUGUGGAUGUCAUCCAAAUAUCCACUGCGUUAGCCUUUAUACUUUUUAAAGUAAAAAAUACUCCCAUAUAAAUCGCCAACUACCAAUUCAAUUUAUUUUUUAAUUUAUUUUACCUGCUUGCAUAUUACUUGAAAGUAAUUAAGCUUCAUUUAGCAGCA